UGCGCAGGCGGACCUAUCAGUCAGUGGUGAAAUCUCUCGGCUCAACCGGGAAACUGCCAUUGAUACUGUAGGUCUUGAGUUUGGUUGAAGUGGGCGGAAUGUAGCAUGUAGCGGUGAAAUGCAUAGAUAUGCUACAGAACACCGAUCGCGAAGGCAGCUCACUAAACCGAAACUGACGCUCAGGCACGAAAGCGUGGGUAGCGAACAGGAUUAGAUACCCUGGUAGUCC
rnacentral:rRNA from 1 species